AUGUCCGACGGUCCUGUAGGAGGC
rnacentral:miRNA from 1 species